rnacentral:rRNA from 1 species
UAGGGAAUCUUCCGCAAUGGGCGAAAGCCUGACGGAGCAACGCCGCGUGAGUGAUGAAGGUCUUCGGAUUGUAAAACUCUGUUAUUAGGGAAGAACAAACGUGUAAGUAACUGUGCACGUCUUGACGGUACCUAAUCAGAAAGCCACGGCUAACUACGUGCCAGCAGCCGCGGUAAUACGUAGGUGGCAAGCGUUAUCCGGAAUUAUUGGGCGUAAAGCGCGCGUAGGCGGUUUUUUAAGUCUGAUGUGAAAGCCCACGACUCAACCGUGGAGGGUCAUUGGAAACUGGAAAACUUGAGUGCAGAAGAGGAAAGUGGAAUUCCAUGUGUAGCGGUGAAAUGCGCAGAGAUAUGGAGGAACACCAGUGGCGAAGGCGACUUUCUGGUCUGUAACUGACGCUGAUGUGCGAAAGCGUGGGGAUCAAACA